GUAGUUCAAUAGCAGAACGGCAUAGUUUUGACUAUGUGCGAUGUAGGUUCAAAUCCUACCCAUACCA
rnacentral:tRNA from 1 species